GACGAACCGAGCGAACGUUGUUCGGAAUCACUGGGCUUAAAGGGCGCGUAGGCGGUCUCCCAAGUCCGGGGUGAAAUCUUUCGGCCUAACCGGAAAAGGGCCUUGGAUACUGGGGGACUCGAGGGGGGUAGGGGCAAGCGGAACUUCCGGUGGAGCGGUGAAAUGCGUUGAUAUCGGAAGGAACGCCGGCGGCGAAAGCGGCUUGCUGGACCCCAUCUGACGCUGAGGCGCGAAAGCCAGGGGAGCGAACGGG
rnacentral:rRNA from 1 species